AUUCAGUUGACAAGUCGCAAAUAGAACGAAAUGCACAUCCUGGAU
rnacentral:hammerhead_ribozyme from 1 species